GUGCUCGCUUUGGCAGCACAUAUACUAUGUGCAUGGAGCGAUACAGAGAAGGUUAGCAUGGCCCCGGCGCAAGAAUGACACGCAAAUUCGUGAAGCGUUCCAUAUUUUU